UGACUGUCCACCUGCUGACUACCACUUC
rnacentral:piRNA from 1 species